rnacentral:tRNA from 1 species
GGGGAUAUAGCUCAGUAGUGGAGCACUUGCUUGGCAUGCACAGGGUCUGGGUUUCAAUCCCCAGUGCCUCCA